CGGUUACAUUCCGAACCCGGAAGUUAAGCUUCUCUGCGCCGAUGGUACUGCACUCGGGAGGGUGUGGGAGAGUAGGUCACCGCCGGAC
rnacentral:rRNA from 1 species